AAAAAUAACAAUACGGGACUCAUCCGAGGCCCCGUAAUUGGAAUGACUACAAUUUAAAUCCUUUAAGAAGGAUCCAUUGGAGGGCAAGUCUGGUGCCAGCAGCCGCGGUAAUUCCAGCUCCAAUAGCGUAUAUUAAAGUUGCUGCAGUUAAAAAGCUCGUAGUUGGAUCUCAGUUACAGGCAGGUGGUUCACUUUACAGUGUUACUACUUGUACUGAACCUAUUGCUGGAUCUCAUGGGUGCCCUUCACUGGGUGCCCAUAGAGGACAGACGUUUUACUUUGAGAAAAUUAGAGUGCUCAAAGCAGGCGAAUGCCUGAAUAGUUGUGCAUGGAAUAAUAAAAUAUGGCCUCGGUGUUCUUUUGUUGGUUCACGAUGCUCGAGGUAAUGGUUGAAAGGGACUGACGGGGGCAUUCGUAUUGCGACGUUAGAGGUGAAAUUCUUAGAUCGUCGCAAGACGGACUACUGCGAAAGCAUUUGCCAAGAAUGUCUUCAUUAAUCAAGAACGAAAGUCAGAGGUUCGAAGGCGAUCAGAUACCGCCCUAGUUCUGACCUU
rnacentral:rRNA from 1 species